AGUGAACGCUGGCGGUAGGCCUAACACAUGCAAGUCGAACGGCAGCACAGUAAGAGCUUGCUCUUACGGGUGGCGAGUGGCGGACGGGUGAGGAAUACAUCGGAAUCUACUUUUUCGUGGGGGAUAACGUAGGGAAACUUACGCUAAUACCGCAUACGACCUACGGGUGAAAGGAGGGGAACUUCGGACCUUGCGCGGUUGAAUGAGCCGAUGUCGGAGUAGCUAGUUGGCGGGGUAAAGGCCCACCAAGGCGAGGAUCCGUAGCUGGUCUGAGAGGAUGAUAGGCGACACUGGAACGUAGACACGGUCCAGACUCCUACGGUACGCACCAGUGGGCAAUAUUGGACAAUGGGCGCAAGCCUGAUCCAGCCAUACCGCGUGGGUGAAGAAGGCCUUCGGGUUGUAAAGCCCUUUUGUUGGGAAAGAACAGCAGCCGGUUAAUACCCCGCUGUUCUGACGGUACCCAAAGAAUAAGCACCGGCUAACUUCGUG
rnacentral:rRNA from 1 species